rnacentral:sRNA from 1 species
CUUGUGCUGUGAGUGUGGUGUUCCGAUAAGUCCAAAUCCUGCCAAUAUUUGUGUGGCCUGUUUGCGAAGUAAAGUGGACAUCAGCCAAGGUAUUUUCAACCACCAGGAACUUGGAUACAGUGUGCUUUAGAAUCCAGGGAACUUCUUGCUUUGUGCUUGAAAAAAAUCAAAGCCCCUCUGAGUAAGGUACGGCUUGUAGAUGCAGGCUUUGUUUGGACUGAGCCUCAUUCUAAGAGACUUAAAGUUAAACUGACUAUUCAGAAAGAGGUGAUGAAUGGUGCUAUCCUUCAACAAGUGUUUGUGGUGGAUUAUGUUGUUCAGUCCCAAAUGUGUGGAGAUUGCCAUAGAGUAGAAGCUAAGGAUUUCUGGAAGGCUGUGAUUCAAGUGAGGCAAAAGACUUUGCAUAAAAAAACUUUCUACUAUCUGGAACAGUUAAUUCUGAAAUAUGGAAUGCAUCAGAAUACACUUCGUAUCAAAGAGAUUCAUGGUGAGUUAAAACUCAAAAGCAUUUGAAAUGAUGUCAGAUUUUUAUUUCAACAUACCUAAGUAAUCUUAUAUUUACUGAUAAUAUCUGGAUUAGUACUGUCCAAAAGAACUUUCUGUUAG